CGGCCUUGUGGGGAAGGGUGCAAGCCCGGGUUCCCGAGGCUCGUGGAAUCUUCUGGAGCCCUUAACUCCGCUGUGCGGGCUAGGAAAUACUGAUGUCUCCUGCUGGAGCCGGUAUGGCCUCGGAGCGGUGUGAUUCUGAGGCAAUUUGGGGUUCCAAAUCAGUGGGGUCACCGUUCAGGAGGACCAGGAAGGGAUCGGGUACAGGGUCCUGGAAAGGAGCUGUGUUCAGAAGGGGAGCCUUUUGGAACAAAGCGCGGCACCCAGCCCCCGGCGCCUCCUUCGCUCUUUUCGGCAUGUUUAAUCGCUUUAGUUCUGAGCCCGGAGGUUCUAGAAACUCGCCAAGCAAGGCGGGCCUAGUCCCAGACCAAGCUCACACAGGCUUGCCUCUUGCUCUUUUCCACGCGCAGCUCAGAGCUUCGUAGUUCACCAGACUGCGGGUUCCUAGACACUCGUUAUAUCAGCGUCCGACCUUGCAGGCUCCUGGAUCUUGCUGGUUGCUUUGUGUCGAGGACAGGUAUCCUGGGGCUGAACAGGGAGAGGAUUGGAAAACCUUGAUGCAAAGAGAACUAUGGAUUGUGGUCAAAUUUCCCCCCAGUUUGAGUAAUAGCAAUAAAGGCUGUUAACAAAUUAAUUAUUCGACAUCACUUUUAAGUCGCACCGGUCAGUUAACC
rnacentral:lncRNA from 1 species